rnacentral:rRNA from 1 species
GACGAACGCUGGCGGCGUGCUUAACACAUGCAAGUCGAACGGAAAGGCCCUGCUUUUGUGGGGUGCUCGAGUGGCGAACGGGUGAGUAACACGUGAGUAACCUGCCCUUGACUUUGGGAUAACUUCAGGAAACUGGGGCUAAUACCGGAUAGGAGCUCCUGCUGCAUGGUGGGGGUUGGAAAGUUUCGGCGGUUGGGGAUGGACUCGCGGCUUAUCAGCUUGUUGGUGGGGUAGUGGCUUACCAAGGCUUUGACGGGUAGCCGGCCUGAGCGGGUGACCGGCCACAUUGGGACUGAGAUACGGCCCAGACUCCUACGGGAGGCAGCAGUGGGGAAUAUUGCACAAUGGGCGGAAGCCUGAUGCAGCAACGCCGCGUGCGGGAUGACGUCCUUCGGGUUGUAAACCGCUUUCGCCUGUGACGAAGCGUGAGUGACGGUAAUGGGUAAAGAAGCACCGGCUAACUACGUG